rnacentral:rRNA from 1 species
UUGACCUCGAAUCAGGUAGGAAUACCCGCUGAACUUAAGCAUAUCAAUAAGCGGAGGAAAAGAAACCAACCGGGAUUACCUCAGUAACGGCGAGUGAAGCGGUAACAGCUCAAAUUUGAAAUCUGGCUCUUGCGGAGUCCGAGUUGUAAUUUGUAGAAGAUGCUUUGGGUUGUGGGUUCGGCCUAAGUUCCUUGGAACAGGACGUCAUAGAGGGUGAGAAUCCCGUAUGUGGCCGAGGCCCGCGCCUAUGUAAAGCUCUUUCAACGAGUCGAGUUGUUUGGGAAUGCAGCUCAAAAUGGGUGGUAAAUUUCAUCUAAAGCUAAAUAUGGGCCAGAGACCGAUAGCGCACAAGUAGAGUGAUCGAAAGAUGAAAAGCACUUUGGAAAGAGAGUUAAACAGUACGUGAAAUUGUUGAAAGGGAAGCGCUUGCAACCAGACUUGGGCGCUGCCGAUCACCUUGAGUUUUCUCGAGUGCACUCGACAGCGCACAGGCCAGCAUCGGUUCGGGUGGCUGGAUAAAGGCCGUAGGAAUGUGGCUCUCUUCGGGGAGUGUUAUAGCCUACGGUGCCAUGCAGCCCAGCCGGACCGAGGACCGCGCCUUCGGGCUAGGAUGCUGGCGUAAUGGUUGUAAGCGACCCGUCUUGAAACACGGACCAAGGAGUCUAACAUCUAUGCGAGUGUUUGGGUGGUAAACCCAUACGCGGAAUGAAAGUGAACGUAGGUGAGAACCCCUUUGGGGCGCAUCAUCGACCGAUCCUGAUGUCU